rnacentral:tRNA from 1 species
UGUGUUGUAGCUCAGCGGUAGAGCGCUUGCCUAGUACAUGCAGGGCUCUGGGUUCCAUCCUCAGCACCACAC